GGGGCUAUAGCUCAGUGGCAGAGCACUUGCCUAGCAUGCAUGAGGCACUGAGUUUGAUCCUCAGCACCACA
rnacentral:tRNA from 1 species